rnacentral:rRNA from 1 species
UCUUCGGGGCCUUGUAUGCUCGCCAGAGAAUAUCAAAACUCUUUUUAUUAAUGUCGUCUGAGUACUAUAUAAUAGUUAAAACUUUCAACAACGGAUCUCUUGGUUCUGGCAUCGAUGAAGAACGCAGCGAAAUGCGAUAAGUAAUGUGAAAUUGCAGAAUUCAGUGAAUCAUCGAAUCUUUGAACGCACAAUGCGCACCAUGGUAUUCC